rnacentral:rRNA from 1 species
AUGGUAGUCUUAGCACUUGUACAAGAUGAAGUAUCGAGAGGGACCUCAAGACACGGUCAAGAUCUAACUCCACGGGCACCUGUACGACCAAUAAGCCUAGGACAGCCUGUGAAGCUGUCGAGAGACACAUUGCCAACACCACCGAAGCCACCCUCUUUGAAGUACCUUCCCAUACCCUCUUCUGCCGUCGCCUACCAGGAUUAUGUGACUGGUAAAACCGUUGUCACCAUUGUUGCCAAAGCCCCCGCCGGCAGGGAGGCCUGGAUUGCCCCUCAUGCUUUCCAUGCCCACGAAAAGGCUCUUCUCUUCUGCCACGUCACCAAGUGUAGCUGGCACGAUCCUGUUCGCCGCCACGGCAUGCACCGCCAGCACGAGACAAAAGCAGGAGUAGGAAUGUUACAAUGUCAGAGCACUUCUUGA